GGCGUCAUAGAGGGUGAGAAUCCCGUCUGUGACCGGUGACCGAUCCCAUGCGAAACCCCUUCGACGAGUCGAGUUGUUUGGGAAUGCAGCUCAAAAUGGGUGGUAAAUUUCAUCUAAAGCUAAAUACUGGCUGGAGACCGAUAGCGCACAAGUAGAGUGAUCGAAAGAUGAAAAGCACUUUGGAAAGAGAGUCAAAAAGUACGUGAAAUUGUUGAAAGGGAAGCGCUUGCAACCAGACCUGUCCGUGGGUGAUCAGCCGCCGUUCUCGGUGGUGCACUCGCCUACGAUCAGGCCAGCAUCGGUUCGGGCGGUCGGACAAAGGCCUUGGGAAUGUAGCUCCUCUCCGGGAGUCUUAUAGCCCUCGGUGCAAUGCGGCCAGCCCGGACCGAGGACCGCGCUUCGGCUAGGAUGCUGGCGUAAUGGUUGUAAGCGACCCGUCUUGAAACACGGACCAAGGAGUCUAACAUCUAUGCGAGUGUUUGGGUGUCAAACCCGUACGCGGAAUGAAAGUGAACGGAGGUGAGAACCCUUUAGGGCGCAUCAUCGACCGAUCCAGAUGUCUUCGGAUGGAUUUGAGUAUGAGCAUAGCUGUUGGGACCCGAAAGAUGGUGAACUAUGCCUGAAUAGGGUGAAGCCAGAGGAAACUCUGGUGGAGGCUCGCAGCGGU
rnacentral:rRNA from 1 species